rnacentral:rRNA from 1 species
GAUGAACGCUGGCGGCGUGCCUAAUACAUGCAAGUCGAGCGAACGGAUAAGGAGCUUGCUCCUUUGAAGUUAGCGGCGGACGGGUGAGUAACACGUGGGUAACCUACCUAUAAGACUGGAAUAACUUCGGGAAACCGGAGCUAAUGCCGGAUAACAUAUAGAACCGCAUGGUUCUAUAGUGAAAGAUGGUUUUGCUAUCACUUAUAGAUGGACCCGCGUCGUAUUAGCUAGUUGGUAAGGUAAUGGCUUACCAAGGCGACGAUACGUAGCCGCCAUGAGAGGGUGAUCGGCCACACGGGAACGGGUACACGGUCCAGGCUCCUACGGGAGGCAGCAGGAGGGAAUCUUCCGCAAUGGGCGAGAGCCUGACGAGGCAACGCCGCGUGAGUGAUGAAGGUUUUCGGAUCGUAAAACUCUGUUAUUAGGGAAGAACAAAUGCGUAAGUAACUGUGCGCAUCUUGACGGUACCUAAUCAGAAAGCCACGGCUAACUACGUGCCAGCAGCCGCCGUAA